rnacentral:lncRNA from 1 species
GCGGGCUCGUACAAGGUGGCAGUGCUCAGCAGGAAGACCCCCUCGAUCCUGGCUCUCUCCAGGCAAAAGCUCCCUCAGCUGGCCGGCUCUUCGAUCGACGCAGUUUCCAAGGGCGCCUACAUCCUCAGCGACAACUCGUCCGGAAACAAGCCGGACCUCAUCUUGAUAGGCACCGGCUCCGAGGUGGAGAUCGCUGCAAAGGCCGCGGACGUGAUCAGAAAGGAAGGCAAGAGCGUGAGGGUGGUCUCGUUCCCGUGCUGGGAGCUGUUCGAGAAGCAAA